UAGGGAAUCUUCCACAAUGGACGCAAGUCUGAUGGAGCAACGCCGCGUGAGUGAAGAUGGUUUUCGGAUCGUAAAGCUCUGUUGUUGGUGAAGAAGGAUAGAGGUAGUAACUGGCCUUUAUUUGACGGUAAUCAACCAGAAAGUCACGGCUAACUACGUGCCAGCAGCCGCGGUAAUACGUAGGUGGCAAGCGUUGUCCGGAUUUAUUGGGCGUAAAGCGAGCGCAGGCGGAAGAAUAAGUCUGAUGUGAAAGCCCUCGGCUUAACCGAGGAACUGCAUCGGAAACUGUUUUUCUUGAGUGCAGAAGAGGAGAGUGGAAUUCCAUGUGUAGCGGUGGAAUGCGUAGAUAUAUGGAAGAACACCAGUGGCGAAGGCGACUCUCUGGUCUGCAACUGACGCUGAGGCUCGAAAGCAUGGGUAGCGAACAGG
rnacentral:rRNA from 1 species